rnacentral:rRNA from 1 species
UACAGGGGGUGCAAACGUUGCUCGGAAUCAUUGGGCGUAAAGCGCACGUAGGCGGUUCGUUAUGUCGGAUGUGAAAGCCCUUGGCUUAACCGAGGAAGUGCAUCCGAAACUGGCGAGCUAGAGUACUAAAGAGGAUCGCGGAAUUCCCGGUGUAGAGGUGAAAUUCGUAGAUAUUGGGAGGAACACCAGUGGCGAAGGCGGCUCACUGGACCGGUUCUGACGCUGAGGCGCGAAAGCGUGGGGAGCAAACGGG